AAGUCGUAACAAGGUUUCCGUAGGUGAACCUGCGGAAGGAUCAUUAGUGAUUUGGCUCCGGCCUUAUUCUUGUCCAACCUCUGUGAACCGUGGCCUCCGGGCCGUAUUUUAAACAUCAGUGUAAAGAAUGUAAACAUAUUAAACAAACAAAACUUUUAACAACGGAUCUCUUGGCUCUC
rnacentral:misc_RNA from 1 species